rnacentral:snoRNA from 1 species
CCCCUCUCAGGGUCGCACCUGGAGAGUUUCCAGUACUCUCCCAGUCUCGGCUAUAGAAGGGAGAGUCAAGCAGAGACAUACCCAUUCCAUUCCCAGCUUGGCCAGUGGUUAACAAGUGGAAGGCGAUCUGCUACAAAU